GCCAGUUGUUGACAUAGUCUUCAACUUCGGUAGUGAGACGAGAAGGACCAAGAAAAUAGACUGAACCGUCUCUUACAGAAAACCAUGGCUGGCUGGUUCCAAACCCUGAUGACCCCCGUGAGGAGAAUUACAGCCCAAACUUGGGGGCACUGAUCUCACUGCCUCCUGGCAGAUAAUGAAGGCAUUGAUAAUAUGGUACCUUGCACACGACAAUUCCUUCAUUCUUCACCCACCCCUCUGUUACACCAUGAACUCCAUGAACACCAUGAAGUCAUCGUCUUUUUCCAAAGCCGAAAACAGCGUGACCCAGAAGCGGGGCUGGACACAGGAGGCUCUCCUAGGCAGGAAUAAACACUCACGAAACAUUGACCAAAUGAGUUCAAGAAUGUUCCCGAUGGGAGGGGACCGUGGUUCAUUCUCACAACUCUCUUGUGUGCCCCCUUAGAUUCUGGCAGCUCUAAGGGGGUACAAUCAGGGUUCAUUCAUUGAGGGAAUGAAAUAGUAAUAACAGCAAAACAGUAAUAAUAAGAAAGAAAAAUGGGCCAUCAGAGGGAUGUUCAGUGUCCUCGGCAUUUUCCAAACGGAAGUGAAUUUGCAUCUCUGACCGUUUUCCAUAGUUAUGUGUCUAAAGAUCUAAGCAAGACAAACCCCUUUAAUCUUUUAAUUAUCUUUUCCUGCCCUAAGAGUAAAUAAUUGCUACUGAAUCCAAGACCUAAGAAAACACACAAAUGCUUUUUAGAUACAACUAAGAAGAAAGGAACACCUACUCUUUUUCCAUUACCCAUUCCUACUUCAAAAUGCUUUCUGAUUCUCUUAUUAAAAUGCAAAAACUUGCAAAGAAAAAACUGUUUCUUUAAGUGUCGCUCAGUGAGUAAAGCCUUAAAAGCGUGAUACAAAG
ensembl:lncRNA